rnacentral:rRNA from 1 species
GAUGAACGCUGGCGGCGUGCUUAACACAUGCAAGUCGAACGGAAAGGCCCAAGCUUGCUUGGGUCCUCGAGUGGCGAACGGGUGAGUAACACGUGGGUGAUCUGCCCUGCACUUCGGGAUAAGCCUGGGAAACUGGGUCUAAUGCCGGAUAGGACCACUUCUUGGAUGUUGUGGUGGAAAGGUUUUUCGGUGUGGGAUGAGCUCGCGGCCUAUCAGCUUGUUGGUGGGGUAAUGGCCUACCAAGGCGUCGACGGGUAGCCGGCCUGAGAGGGUGUACGGCCACAUUGGGACUGAGAUACGGCCCAGACUCCUACGGGAGGCAGCAGUGGGGAAUAUUGCACAAUGGGCGCAAGCCGGAUGCAGCGACGCCGCGUGGGGGAUGACGGCCUUCGGGUUGUAAACUCCUUUCGCUAGGGACGAAGCGUUUUGUGACGGUACCUGGAGAAGAAGCACCGGCUAACUACGUG